rnacentral:rRNA from 1 species
UACAGAGGUCUCAAGCGUUGUUCGGAUUCAUUGGGCGUAAAGGGUGCGUAGGCGGCGUGGUAAGUCGGAUGUGAAAUCUCGGAGCUUAACUCCGAAACUGCAUUCGAUACUGCCGUGCUUGAGGACUGGAGAGGAGACUGGAAUUUACGGUGUAGCGGUGAAAUGCGCAGAUAUCAGGAGGAACACCGGUGGCGAAGGCGGGUCUCUGGGCCGAUACUGACGCUGAGGAGCGAAAGCGUGGGGGAGCGAACAGG